UCCGGCUUAACGCCGGCAGUCCCUCUAGAGUGCCCAACUGAAUGCUGGCAACUAGAGGCAAGGGUUGCGCUCGUUGCGGGACUUAACCCAACAUCUCACGACACGAGCUGACGACAGCCAUGCAGCACCUGAACCGGCAGUCCCCGAAGGGAAAGCUUCAUCUCUGAAGCGGUCCACCGUUGUCUAACCCAGGUAAGGUUCUUCGCGUUGCGUCGAAUUAAACCACAUGCUCCACCGCUUGUGCGGGCCCCCGUCAAUUCCUUUGGGUUUCAACCUUGCGAUUGUACUUCCCAGGUGGAAUACUUAAUGCGUUUGCGACGGCGCGGAUUCCGUUGGUUGGAACCCACACCUAGUGCCCAACGUUUACGGCGUGGACUAC
rnacentral:misc_RNA from 1 species